AGAGUUUGAUCAUGGCUCAGGACGAACGCUGGCGGCGUGCUUAACACAUGCAAGUCGAACGAGACCCUCGCCUUCGGGUGGGGUGUUCUAGUGGCGAACGGGUGAGUAACACGUGGGCAACCUGCCCCCGGCUCUGGGAUAACUCCAAGAAAUUGGGGCUAAUACCGGAUGUGACCGCUGGCCGCAUGGUCUGGUGGUGGAAAGAUUUAUCGGCUGGGGAUGGGCCCGCGGCCUAUCAGCUUGUUGGUGGGGUAGUGGCCUACCAAGGCGACGACGGGUAGCCGGCCUGAGAGGGUGACCGGCCACACUGGGACUGAGACACGGCCCAGACUCCUACGGGAGGCAGCAGUGGGGAAUAUUGCGCAAUGGGCGAAAGCCUGACGCAGCGACGCCGCGUGGGGGAUGACGGCCUUCGGGUUGUAAACCUCUUUCAGCAGGGACGAAGCGAAAGUGACGGUACCUGCAGAAGAAGCACCGGCCAACUACGUGCCAGCAGCCGCGGUAAUACGUAGGGUGCAAGCGUUGUCCGGAAUUAUUGGGCGUAAAGAGCUCGUAGGCGGUUUGUUGCGUCGGCUGUGAAAUCCCGAGGCUCAACCUCGGGUCUGCAGUCGAUACGAGCAAACUAGAGUGUUGCAGGGGAGACUGGAAUUCCUGGUGUAGCGGUGAAAUGCGCAGAUAUCAGGAGGAACACCGGUGGCGAAGGCGGGUCUCUGGGCAACAACUGACGCUGAGGAGCGAAAGCGUGGGGAGCGAACAGGAUUAGAUACCCUAGUAGUCC
rnacentral:rRNA from 1 species